rnacentral:rRNA from 2 species
AGAGUUUGAUCCUGGCUCAGGAUGAACGCUGGCGGCGUGCCUAAUACAUGCAAGUCGAGCGAACGGACGAGAAGCUUGCUUCUCUGAUGUUAGCGGCGGACGGGUGAGUAACACGUGGAUAACCUACCUAUAAGACUGGGAUAACUUCGGGAAACCGGAGCUAAUACCGGAUAAUAUUUUGAACCGCAUGGUUCAAAAGUGAAAGACGGUCUUGCUGUCACUUAUAGAUGGAUCCGCGCUGCAUUAGCUAGUUGGUAAGGUAACGGCUUACCAAGGCAACGAUGCAUAGCCGACCUGAGAGGGUGAUCGGCCACACUGGAACUGAGACACGGUCCAGACUCCUACGGGAGGCAGCAGUAGGGAAUCUUCCGCAAUGGGCGAAAGCCUGACGGAGCAACGCCGCGUGAGUGAUGAAGGUCUUCGGAUCGUAAAACUCUGUUAUUAGGGAAGAACAUAUGUGUAAGUAACUGUGCACAUCUUGACGGUACCUAAUCAGAAAGCCACGGCUAACUACGUGCCAGCAGCCGCGGUAAUACGUAGGUGGCAAGCGUUAUCCGGAAUUAUUGGGCGUAAAGCGCGCGUAGGCGGUUUUUUAAGUCUGAUGUGAAAGCCCACGGCUCAACCGUGGAGGGUCAUUGGAAACUGGAAAACUUGAGUGCAGAAGAGGAAAGUGGAAUUCCAUGUGUAGCGGUGAAAUGCGCAGAGAUAUGGAGGAACACCAGUGGCGAAGGCGACUUUCUGGUCUGUAACUGACGCUGAUGUGCGAAAGCGUGGGGAUCAAACAGGAUUAGAUACCCUGGUAGUCCACGCCGUAAACGAUGAGUGCUAAGUGUUAGGGGGUUUCCGCCCCUUAGUGCUGCAGCUAACGCAUUAAGCACUCCGCCUGGGGAGUACGACCGCAAGGUUGAAACUCAAAGGAAUUGACGGGGACCCGCACAAGCGGUGGAGCAUGUGGUUUAAUUCGAAGCAACGCGAAGAACCUUACCAAAUCUUGACAUCCUUUGACAACUCUAGAGAUAGAGCCUUCCCCUUCGGGGGACAAAGUGACAGGUGGUGCAUGGUUGUCGUCAGCUCGUGUCGUGAGAUGUUGGGUUAAGUCCCGCAACGAGCGCAACCCUUAAGCUUAGUUGCCAUCAUUAAGUUGGGCACUCUAAGUUGACUGCCGGUGACAAACCGGAGGAAGGUGGGGAUGACGUCAAAUCAUCAUGCCCCUUAUGAUUUGGGCUACACACGUGCUACAAUGGACAAUACAAAGGGCAGCGAAACCGCGAGGUCAAGCAAAUCCCAUAAAGUUGUUCUCAGUUCGGAUUGUAGUCUGCAACUCGACUACAUGAAGCUGGAAUCGCUAGUAAUCGUAGAUCAGCAUGCUACGGUGAAUACGUUCCCGGGUCUUGUACACACCGCCCGUCACACCACGAGAGUUUGUAACACCCGAAGCCGGUGGAGUAACCUUUUAGGAGCUAGCCGUCGAAGGUGGGACAAAUGAUUGGGGUGAAGUCGUAACAAGGUAGUCGUAUCGGAAGGUGCGGCUGGAUCACCU